rnacentral:rRNA from 1 species
GACGUAGGGCGCGAGCGUUGUCCGGAUUUAUUGGGCGUAAAGAGCUCGUAGGCGGCUUGUCGCGUCGUCCGUGAAAACCUGCGGCUCAACUGCAGGCUGGCGGUCGAUACGGGCAGGCUGGAGUUCGGUAGGGGAGACUGGAAUUCCUGGUGUAGCGGUGAAAUGCGCAGAUAUCAGGAAGAACACCAAUGGCGAAAGCAGCUCUCUGGGACGGUACUGACGCUGAGACGCGAAAGCGUGGGGAGCGAACAGG